CGGAUUUGCCUUCCUAACCAUCCUUACUUGCGAUAUGCAAAGUUGUGGCACUACGCUUGAAAGUGCACAAGGAUUACAAUCUUAAGUAACGGUACUUAGGUACGCCAAUCAAUAGUUCAUGAAUGAAGAAGUAAUAUAACUGCAAGUGGAUAGAACUAUCAUUGUAGCAUUUCAACCCGUGAGUAUUCAAAGGUGUCACAUUUAUAAUUCCCGUAGGAAGAAAAAUGGAUCAAGCAUGGUGUAAACAUGAUUACUUAUUGAAUGGUUGGUAGACAUAGAGUAAAUAGGAAUAAACAUGAUAUUCAAGAUAGUGGACACACAUUGGAUCAACCUCAAGGAUAAAAUAGAAGAGAAAUAAUAAAUAAAGAAUAAAGAAAUAAAUCU
rnacentral:lncRNA from 1 species